UGAAUACUUGCCUACGGGUGGCCUCACU
rnacentral:sRNA from 1 species